rnacentral:rRNA from 1 species
GACGAACGCUGGCGGCGUGCCUAAUACAUGCAAGUCGAGCGGACGAUUGAAGAGCUUGCUCUUCAAUCGUUAGCGGCGGACGGGUGAGUAACACGUGGGCAACCUGCCUUAACGACUGGGAUAACUCCGGGAAACCGGGGCUAAUACCGGAUAACAUCUAGCACCUCCUGGUGCCAGAUUAAAAGAGGGCCUCUGGCUCCCACGUUCAGAUGGGCCCGCGGCGCAUUAGCCAGUUGGAGAGGUAACGGCUCCCCAAGGCAACGAUGCGUAGCCGACCUGAGAGGGUGAUCGGCCACACUGGGACUGAGACACGGCCCAGACUCCUACGGGAGGCAGCAGUAGGGAAUCUUCCGCAAUGGACGAAAGUCUGACGGAGCAACGCCGCGUGAGUGAUGAAGGGUUUCGGCUCGUAAAGCUCUGUUAUGAGGGAAGAACAAGUGCCAUUCAAAUAGGUUGGCACCUUGACGGUACCUCAUCAGAAAGCCACGGCUAACUACGUGCCAGCCGCCGCCGUAAAAC